rnacentral:lncRNA from 1 species
CCAGCAGUGCUUGCAGCCUUCCCUGAUGGGCAGGAGGUGAGUUCCCAGAGAGCAGGGCUCUACCAGUGGGCUGAUUGGGCAGAAGAAGCCCCGAGAGGGCGCAUUCCUUCCUCACCAGAGCUUGGAACAGAUUCAUGG